rnacentral:rRNA from 1 species
GACGAACGCUGGCGGCGUGCUUAACACAUGCAAGUCGAACGGAAAGGCCCUGCUUUUGUGGGGUGCUCGAGUGGCGAACGGGUGAGUAACACGUGAGUAACCUGCCCUUGACUUUGGGAUAACUUCAGGAAACUGGGGCUAAUACCGGAUAGGAGCUCCUGCUGCAUGGUGGGAGUUGGAAAGUUUCGGCGGUUGGGGAUGGACUCGCGGCUUAUCAGCUUGUUGGUGGGGUAGUGGCUUACCAAGGCUUUGACGGGUAGCCGGCCUGAGAGGGUGACCGGCCACAUUGGGACUGAGAUACGGCCCAGACUCCUACGGGAGGCAGCAGUGGGGAAUAUUGCACAAUGGGCGGAGGCCUGAUGCAGCAACGCCGCGUGCGGGAUGACGGCCUUCUGGUUGUAAACCGCUUUCGCCUGUGACGAAGCGUGAGUGACGGUAAUGGGUAAAGAAGCGCCGGCUAACUACGUG